UACAGAGGUCUCAAGCGUUGUUCGGAUUCAUUGGGCGUAAAGGGUGUGUAGGUGGCGCGCUAAGCCGGGUGUGAAAUUUCGGAGCUUAACUCCGAAACUGCAUUCGAUACUGGCGUGCCUGAGGACUGGAGAGGAGACUGGAAUUCAUGGUGUAGCAGUGAAAUGCGUAGAGAUCAUGAGGAAGACCAGUGGCGAAGGCGGGUCUCUGGACAGUUCCUGACACUGAGACACGAAGGCCAGGGGAGCAAACGGG
rnacentral:rRNA from 1 species